GGCAAACGGGUGAGUAACGCGUGGGAACCUGCCCAGAGGUAGGGAAUAACCGCGGGAAACUGCGGCUAAUACCCUAUGUGUCCUGAGGGACAAAGAUUUAUCGCCUUUGGAGGGGCCCGCGUCGGAUUAGGUAGUUGGUGGGGUAACGGCCUACCAAGCCAUCGAUCCGUAGCUGGUCUGAGAGGAUGAUCAGCCACACUGGGACUGAGAUACGGCCCAGACUCCUACGGGAGGCAGCAGUGGGGAAUAUUGGACAAUGGGGGCAACCCUGAUCCAGCAAUGCCGCGUGAGUGAUGAAGGCCUUCGGGUUGUAAAGCUCUUUCGGCGGGGAAGAUGAUGACGGUACCCGCAGAAGAAGCCCCGGCUAACUUCGUGCCAGCAGCCGCGG
rnacentral:rRNA from 1 species